rnacentral:tRNA from 1 species
AUUUACAUAGUAUAAUAAUUAUUCUUAACUUCCAAUUAAGAGAUCUAAUACCUAUUAGUGUAAAUA